rnacentral:tRNA from 1 species
AGGAAUUUAGGUUAGCAAAGACCGAGAGCCUUCAAAGCUCUAAGCAAGUAGAAUUUACUUAAUUCCUG